AACAUAUUAGAACACACCCGUGAUAUCGCGGGUCCGUGACUGAAUUAAAGUAUAUAACUAUGCGCAAGCAUUAUUUUAGUAUUAGUAUUGUCAUCUGAUAAAGUCAUGCCGAUUAUAAGAUACACAGUUUUCUCUGCUUUCAAAUCUUUCUGUUUGAACCCGUCGAACUGGAACUUAUCAAUUAUUGGUAAUAUUAAUUAUUUGGAAAACAAAAGGUCCUGGCAUGGAGUAUUUUUUAAUCAACAGCAUUGUCCUAUAUUAGUUAUAAAUAAAGUUGAAUUCUUUGAUUCGCUGUUUUACGUCAUGCCCGCUAACAAAUUGAAAACUGUACCUAUACGCCUUACUUUUAGUCCAGAUUUUUAGUAUUCAUAUUGUUAUCUUAGAAAGUCUUACUGAUUAAAAUACAACAAUAGGUAACAAUUCGACAAUUUAGUAGUGUCAACCCUGUGAUUAUGACCCGUGUAUAUAGCAUAUUAAUCCUGAAUACACCGUUUGUUGGUGCGCCUGUCAGAUGCGGAACGUACAGAUAAGGUAAUAGGUAACAGGUGAAUAUACUAUUGGUAUCGGUAUCGGACUCGACCCGGAACUUCUUAAUUAUUGGCAAUAGUAAUUACGUGGAAAACAAAAGGGCCUGGAGUGGUGUAAUUUUUAAUCUACACCUUAGUACUAUAUUUA
rnacentral:lncRNA from 1 species